rnacentral:rRNA from 1 species
AUUGAACGCUGGCGGCAGGCCUAACACAUGCAAGUCGAACGGUAACAGGAAGAAGCUUGCUUCUUUGCUGACGAGUGGCGGACGGGUGAGUAAUGUCUGGGAAACUGCCUGAUGGAGGGGGAUAACUACUGGAAACGGUAGCUAAUACCGCAUAACGUCGCAAGACCAAAGAGGGGGACCUUCGGGCCUCUUGCCAUCGGAUGUGCCCAGAUGGGACUAGCUAGUAGGUGGGGUAACGGCUCACCUAGGCGACGAUCCCUAGCUGGUCUGAGAGGAUGACCAGCCACACUGGAACUGAGACACGGUCCAGAUUCCUACGGGAGGCAGCAGUGGGGAAUAUUGCACAAUGGGCGCAAGCCUGAUGCAGCCAUGCCGCGUGUAUGAAGAAGGCCUUCGGGUUGUAAAGUACUUUCAGCGGGGAGGAAGGGAGUAAAGUUAAUACCUUUGCUCAUUGACGUUACCCGCAGAAGAAGCACCGGCUAACUCCGUG